AACUUGACAUGUCAUCAUUUUGCAUAAACGGAGCACUUGGGCCAAUCGGGGAAUGGACACUUGAGGACUGUGUCCGAGUCCACAAACUCCUAGAAACAGUUCUUCUUGACCAUGAUGCUGCUUUAAGAUGGAAGGAGCAAUGUGCCAAGUACUCUCCUUACUCCACAUACUUUGAGGGUAGACUCAGCUCUGCCAUGCCCAACUCUAUGUACAACCAAAGUAACAACUCAGAAAAUGGAAACCAUUCGGUAUUUGGACAAACUGCAGAAUCUCUUGCAUCAAACGGUAAGCUCGAGGCAUUUAAAGAUCUUACCAUCUGACUAUGAUGUUGAGGCCGAUGUUCAGUUAAAACAUUUUUAGAGUUGCAAUCUCUUGUAUUAUUAUCCCUUAAUUUGGCUAAAUUUCCUUCUCCAGAGGUUGCAACAAUAAUUACUGGACAAGCCUAGUACUCUUCCAUUUGAUGAGGAGGCUGGAAAUUAUGUAAAAGAUGAUGUAUGGCCUGCCCUUAUUGUUGAGACAAGAAAUGCUUCUGAUCUCCAUGGAUAUACUGUUAGGGCUUUAUACAGGGCAUUCUAACAUCAUCUGAACAUGUGGG